UACAGAGGUCUCAAGCGUUGUCCGGAUUUAUUGGGCGUAAAGAGCUCGUAGGCGGUUUUGUUGCGUCUAUCGUGAAAACCUGCGGCUUAACUGUGGGCUUGCGGUGGAUACGGGCAGGCUAGAGUUCGGUAGGGGAGACUGGAAUUCCUGGUGUAGCGGUGAAAUGCGCAGAUAUCAGGAGGAACACCGGUGGCGAAGGCGGGUCUCUGGGCCGAUACUGACGCUGAGGAGCGAAAGCGUGGGGAGCGAACAGG
rnacentral:rRNA from 1 species